rnacentral:tRNA from 1 species
GGGGUAUUGGUCAAGUGGCUAAGACAUCGCACUUUCUAUGCGAAAUCAAGGGUUCGAUUCCCUUAUACCCUGCCA